CACCAGUGGUUUGUUUUGUUUAAACUUUCUUUGAUAAAUGGUUGGUUCUCUUUUGCUUUUUCUUUUCAACUUAUGUUUAGCAAAUUUGAGUAUGACGGUAAGCUUAACCCGACUUUCAAAGAAGGCCCAUUCGAGAGUACAUUCAAGGGCCUGUAACUCAAUGGUCCGUUUCUUUCAUACUCCUUAGAAACCAAACUCAUCACUUAACUCUGAUUUGACGAUUGGGUUACUUACAGCUACAGGUUUGUUCAUGUUGGCUCUGCUGGCGUAAACUGACCAGAUCUAAGCAAACAACCUCCAAGUGUCAAAAGUACGGUUCCGUUUAGCGAACCCUUCACAAGAGAUCCUCAGAAUCAUCCACCAGAGAAAGAUGGAAUCACUGGCAAAGAAGCUGUGGAACAGAGCACUCUGUUUAAAAACAGGUUUCUAUUUUUGUUUCUUGUGUCUGAAAAAAAUCUUUUGAGGGUGACAACAAAACAAAAAUUCGUACAUUGUAGAUCCAGAUUAUAUACAAAGCGUAUUCAACGACAACAAUAAAAAUUAUACCAUUUGAUCCGUGGAGGUUCUAGAAAACUGUCGAGCUUCUCUGCCAUUUCUUUGCCUGUAAGAAUUGUGCCUUGUGGUGUAAGAAAAGCGGUGCGUUGAAAAGGUGGAGACCAGAUUCCACUUUUCUGGUAAUCGAACUGAAACUCAGAGACGUCAAUGUACUUGUCAAGAAGCAUGUCUGAAACUGGUUUUGAUACCUUCUGAGUUAAAACAGAGGAAGAUGAAGAUGCAGAAUCAGACAUUGUCAGUUUAUAAAAUUAAGACAGAACAGAAAGUUUUUGAUUGGAGGGUUCCAGAUUCAUUAGGAAAGGUUUGAUGGAGACUUUUGUGGUAAUGACAAAGUAAUGGAUUUUCAGCAAAUAAUGGAGGAUGAGUGGGAAGGUGCACAGAACAUUUGUCUGUUUAUUUUUCUCUCUUUUUUUUUGUUUCUUUGCUAAUAGAAAAGAUGCGUUGAUUUUGGGCACAGAGUACAAAUCAUUGAGUGCUGUUUCUUUCCCAAGGAAUCA